rnacentral:rRNA from 1 species
ACAAGCAGCGGAGCAUGUGGUUUAAUUCGAAGCAACGCGAAGAACCUUACCAGAUCUUGACAUCCAAUUGACCAUCUUUUAAUCGUAGAUUUUGCCUUCGGGUACAAUUGAGACAGGUGGUGCAUGGUUGUCGUCAGCUCGUGUCGUGAGAUGUUGGGUUAAGUCCCGCAACGAGCGCAACCCUUGUGUUUAGUUUGCAAACAGGUCAAGCUGUGCACUCUAGACAGACUGCCGUGGACAACACGGAGGAAGGUGGGGAUGACGUCAAAUCAUCAUGCCCCUUAUGAUCUGGGCUACACACGUGCUACAAUGGCCGGUACAACGGGCAGCGAAGGAGCGAUCCGGAGCGAAUCCUAAAAAAGCCGGUCCCAGUUCGGAUUGCAGGCUGAAACUCGCCUACAUGAAGUUGGAGUUGCUAGUAAUCGCGAAUCAGAAUGUCGCGGUGAAUGCGUUCCCGGGUCUU